rnacentral:rRNA from 1 species
UACGUAGGGGGCAAGCGUUGUCCGGAAUCAUUGGGCGUAAAGAGCGUGUAGGCGGCCAGAUAAGUCCGCUGUGAAAUCUCGAGGCUCAACUUCGAGCUGUCGGUGGAAACUGUCUGGCUAGAGUCCGGAAGAGGAGAAUGGAAUUCCUGGUGUAGCGGUGAAAUGCGCAGAUAUCAGGAGGAACGCCGAUGGCGAAGGCAGGUCUCUGGGCAUUAACUGACGCUGAGGAGCGAAAGCAUGGGGAGCGAACAGG